rnacentral:rRNA from 1 species
GUCUUUUUGGGAAUAAUUUAAAGUCUAAUCUGCCCACUGAAUUAUUUUAAAGGGCUGCAGUAUAUUGACUGUACAAAGGUAGCAUAAUCAUUAGUCUUUUAAUUGAAGACUUGUAUGAAUGAUUUGAUGAAAUAUAAACUGUCUCUUUAUUAAAAAUAGAAUUUAAUUUUUUAGUUAAAAAGCUAAAAUUUAUUUAAAAGACGAGAAGACCCUAUAGAGUUUUAUAUUUAUAAUUAUAUUAAUUUUGUAUAAAAUUUUUAUUUAAUAUUUUUUUAAAUAUUUUAUUGGGGUGAUAGAAAAAUUUGAUAAACUUUUUUUAAAAAUUUUACAUUAAUAUAUGAAAUUUUGAUCCAUAAUUUAUGAUUAAAAGAUUAAAUUACCUUAGGGAUAACAGCGUAAUUUUUUUUUUUAGUUCUUAUAAGAAAAAAAGUUUGCGACCUCGAUGUUGGAUUAAGAUAAAAUUUAGAUGCAAAAGUUUAAAAUUUUGAUCUGUUCGAUCAUUAAAAUCUU